UGUGGACAUCAUUGGGAAUGGAGGGAAAUAACUGACUGUAUGGUCGUUGCUUUUCAAGUUUCAAACUGACAUUCCAGGCGGGCUGUGCCUGAGCCAGCAUCUGCUUUCAGAUCUUCACAGCCUGGUCCUGGGAAGGUGGAGCCCUCAGCUUCUCCCUGGUUGGAGGCACCAUCUUGCUGUUCCUUCGCCUUGGAAGCAACCGUCUCAAAAAGAAGACAGCCAGGAGCUGGCACUGGUUCUGGAAUGCCGUCCUAUCCACAGAACUAUCCCUCAUCUCUCUGUGCCAAGCACUUUCACAGAUGGGCAAAGUGAGGCGCUGGAGGGGAUAGGACACGGCUGAAGGCUGAGGUGUGCAGCCUCCAGCAUCUCUCUUCUUUACGAACUGGAUCCCUACAAGGAGAUUCUCAAGCUGGGACAAUGAUAAACUCUGGAAAUACUGCAAGAAGCAACCAUUAAGAGAGUGAAAAGGCAAGCCACAGAGUGGGAGAAGAUAUUUGCAGAUCAUAAAACUGAUAAGAGACUUGUAUCCAGAAUACAUUAAAAAUUUCCAUGAAUCAUUAAUAACCCAAUAGAAAAAAAUGAGCCAAAGACUUGGAUAGGCACUUCACAAAGAAGUUAUAUAGUUUACCAGUAAAUAUGAGAAGCAGAGCGCACAGUGAAAUCCCAAGGAGACACAUCUACACGCCUGCCAGAGUGGCUGAAAAUGAACAGACUAAUAAUCUAAGUGCUGGCGAGGAUAUGGGGCAAAUACACCUGCCAUCCACUGGCUAGUGGGGGCAUAAAGUGGUGCCAUCACUUUGGAAAAUUGUUUGGCAGUAUUGAGUGCUCGUGUUGUAAUACUCCCAUGGCUCAGCAUUUCUACCCCUCUGUAUACACCCAACUGAAACAUGUACUUAUUAACACUGAAGGCGCGUACAGAGCUGCUCAUAACCAUCCAGUUAUAGUAGCCAAAGACUGGAAACAACAGUGGAAUGGAUUACUAUAUUGUGGUGUCCUUAACAGUGAAACUGAACAAUCGAAUGCAGCACACGGUAACACAGAACUGAAAUCUUCAUGCUCAGUGAAAGAAGCCAGACAACCAAGAGGGUACCAUGAAUGGUUCUACAUACACCAAGUUCAAGAACAGACAAAGCUAAUGAAGAUUGAAGUCCAGACGGUAGUUAUUUGGGGAUGUAUCUGGAAAGAGGCACAAGGGGUUCUGAGGUGCAGCUAAUGUCCUGUUUCUUGAUCUGGGCAGUGAUUUCAUAGGUUUGGACACUGUGAACAUCUAUUGAGCUCUUAUGCUUAUCAUUCGUGCACUUUUCU